rnacentral:rRNA from 1 species
AUGACUAGGGAUAACCUUAGGAAGAGACACAUCAUCAAACCCCUUGAUUGUGUUUACUGCUUGGAACAAGUGUCUUGUUCUCACCUAUUUUUUGAAUGUAUAGUUGCUAAACAUCUCCGGGCCCACAUUGAGGAAUAUUUCUCUAGUCAGAUUGGCUCAUCCUUCGAAUCUGUCGCCAGAUUCUGGAUUGCUACCAAAAAGUGCUCAGUUUUAAACACUGUUAGCUCAGCUGUCCUUGGGUGCCCCUGGAAAUAUAGAAAUGCUAUGAUUUUCAGUAACACCUCCUGGAUUUCCAUUCCGCAGGUCUUGAGGUUGAUCAGGAACAUGGUGAGGAACUGGGCGAUUCUCUCCUCCGGAUCGGACAAGGACAAGUUGAUGAGCUUCGUGGAAACCCUAACAAGAUCCCUCCAGAAACCAUUGGCGAUCACUUGUGGCUGA